AGGAGUUUGAUCCUGGCUCAGAAUGAACGCUGGCGGCGUGCUUAACACAUGCAAGUCGAGCGAGAACGCGACUUCGGUCGUUAGUAAAGCGGCGGACGGGUGAGUAACACGUGGACAACCUACCUGGGAGCGGGGGAUAACUUGGGGAAACCCGAACUAAUACCGCAUACGCUUGUCGGACCUCGGUUCGGCUCGGAAAGGUGGCCUCUUCUUGAAAGCCAUCACUCCCAGAGGGGUCCGCGUCUGAUUAGCUUGUUGGUGGGGUAAUGGCCCACCAAGGCUUCGAUCAGUAGCCGGCCUGAGAGGGUGAUCGGCCACACUGGAACUGAGACACGGUCCAGACUCCUACGGGAGGCAGCAGUGGGGAAUAUUGCGCAAUGGGGGAAACCCUGACGCAGCAACGCCGCGUGGAGGAUGAAGGCCUUCGGGUCGUAAACUCCUGUCAGGUGGGACGAAAACGCACGGUCGGAAAAACCCGUGAACUUGACGGUACCACCAGAGGAAGCCCCGGCUAACUCCGUGCCAGCAGCCGCGGUAAUACGGAGGGGGCAAGCGUUAUUCGGAAUUAUUGGGCGUAAAGGGCGCGCAGGCGGCCUGGCAAGUCAAAGGUGAAAUCCCUCGGCCCAACCGAGGAACUGCCUUUGAAACUGCCUGGCUUGAGGCCGGGAGAGGGUAGUGGAAUUCCCAGUGUAGCGGUGA
rnacentral:rRNA from 1 species